UUUAAGGUCUAACCUGCCCAAUGAAAGAUUUAAAUGGCCGCAGUAUUUUGACUGUGCAAAGGUAGCAUAAUCAUUAGUUUUUUAAUUGAAAGCUGGAAUGAAUGGUUUAAUGAAAAAAUAACUGUCUCAAUUUUAUUUAUUUGAAUUUUAUUUUUAAGUAAAAAAGCUUAAAUUAUAUAAAAAGACGAGAAGACCCUAUAGAGUUUUAUUAUAUAUUAUUUUAUAUUUAAUAAUAAGAUUUUACUGAUAAAUAUAUUAUAUAUAAUUUUAUUGGGGUGAUAUAAAAAUUAAAUUAACUUUUUAUUUAUAAUUACAUUAAUUAAUGAAUUAUUGAUCCUAAUUUUUAGAUUAAAAGAAAAAAUUACCUUAGGGAUAACAGCGUAAUUAUUUUUAAGAGUUCUUAUCGAAAAAAUAGUUUGCGACCUCGAUGUUGGAUUAAAGUUUAAUUUUGGUGUAGAAGCUAAAAAUUUAGGUCUGUUCGACCUUUAAAACUUUACA
rnacentral:rRNA from 1 species